rnacentral:rRNA from 1 species
AGCGGGAAGUAGUUUACUACUUUGCCGGCGAGCGGCGGACGGGUGAGUAAUGUCUGGGAAACUGCCUGAUGGAGGGGGAUAACUACUGGAAACGGUAGCUAAUACCGCAUAACGUCUUCGGACCAAAGUGGGGGACCUUCGGGCCUCACGCCAUCGGAUGUGCCCAGAUGGGAUUAGCUAGUAGGUGGGGUAAUGGCUCACCUAGGCGACGAUCCCUAGCUGGUCUGAGAGGAUGACCAGCCACACUGGAACUGAGACACGGUCCAGACUCCUACGGGAGGCAGCAGUGGGGAAUGUUGCACAAUGGGCGCAAGCCUGAUGCAGCCAUGCCGCGUGUGUGAAGAAGGCCUUCGGGUUGUAAAGCACUUUCAGCGAGGAGGAAGGCCAAUAACUUAAUACGUUGUUGGAUUGACGUUACUCGCAGAAGAAGCACCGGCUAACUCCGUGCCAGCAGCCGCGGUAAUACGGAGGGUGCAAGCGUUAAUCGGAAUUACCGGGCGUAAAGCGCACGCAGGCGGUUUGUUAAGUCAGAUGUGAAAUCCCCGCGCUUAACGUGGGAACUGCAUUUGAAACUGGCAAGCUAGAGUCUUGUAGAGGGGGGUAGAAUUCCAGGUGUAGCGGUGAAAUGCGUAGAGAUCUGGAGGAAUACCGGUGGCGAAGGCGGCCCCCUGGACAAAGACUGACGCUCAGGUGCGAAAGCGUGGGGAGCAAACA